rnacentral:rRNA from 1 species
CGGCAACAGCUCAAAUUUGAAAUCUGGCCCCUCCGGGGUCCGAGUUGUAAUUUGCAGAGGGUGCUUUGGCGUUGGCUGUGGUCCAAGUUCCCUGGAACAGGACGUCACAGAGGGUGAGAACCCCGUACGUGGCCGCCAGCCUCGCCAUGUAAAGCCCCUUCGAC